rnacentral:rRNA from 1 species
CGCGCAGGCGGGUUUGUAAGUCAGAGGUGAAAUCCUACAGCUCAACUGUAGAACUGCCUUUGAUACUGCAAGCCUUGAGUUCGGAAGAGAGAGAUGGAAUUCCAGGUGUAGUGGUGAAAUACGUAGAUAUCUGGAAGAACACCAGUGGCGAAGGCGAUCUCUUGGUCCGUAACUGACGCUGAGGCGCGAAAGCGUGGGGAGCAAACAGGAUUAGAUACCCUGGUAGUCC